UACGAAGGGGGCUAGCGUUGUUCGGAAUCACUGGGCGUAAAGGGCGCGUAGGCGGCCGAUCAAGUCGGGGGUGAAAGCCUGUGGCUCAACCACGGAAUUGCCUUCGAUACUGUUUGGCUUGAGACCGGAAGAGGUAAGUGGAACUGCGAGUGUAGAGGUGAAAUUCGUAGAUAUUCGCAAGAACACCAGUGGCGAAGGCGGCUCACUGGUCCGGUUCUGACGCUGAGGCGCGAAAGCGUGGGGAGCAAACAGG
rnacentral:rRNA from 1 species